AUAAUCUUUUUCCCUACAUUUUUAUAUUUUUUGUUCAGGUGUGCAGCCGAAUUUUGAAAAGAAUAUAAGUGUACCACAAGUGGGAAAAAGGUUGCGGAGCACUGAUAUUCAUCACACUU